ACCAACUUAUCUGUAGAAUGAAAUGUAUGGAGUUUUAAACUACCUACAUAUAUUUGAUUCUACAGAUAAGUUGGUU
rnacentral:pre_miRNA from 12 species